AACGCACAUUGCGCCCGCCAGCGCUCUGGCGGGCAUGCCUGUUCGAGCGUCAUUUCAACACUCGAGCCCCCCCGGGGGCCCGGCGUUGGGGGCCGGCCCUGGCCGCCCCCGAAAUGCAGUGGCGACCUCGCCGCAGCCUCCCCUGCGUAGUAGCACACACCUCGCACCGGAGCGCGGAGACGGUCACGCCGUAAAACGCACCAGCUUUCAAGAGUUGACCUCGGAUCAGGUAGGAAUACCCGCUGAACUUAA
rnacentral:misc_RNA from 1 species